UACGAAGGGUGCAAGCGUUACUCGGAAUUACUGGGCGUAAAGCGUGCGUAGGUGGUUCGUUAAGUCUGAUGUGAAAGCCCUGGGCUCAACCUGGGAAUGGCAUUGGAUACUGGCGACCUAGAGUGCGGUAGAGGGGUGUGGAAUUCCCGGUGUAGCAGUGAAAUGCGUAGAUAUCGGGGGGAACAUCUGUGGCGAAGGCGACACCCUGGACCAGCACUGACACUGAGGCACGAAAGCGUGGGGAGCAAACAGG
rnacentral:rRNA from 1 species